UACGGAGGAUCCAAGCGUUGUCCGGAUUUAUUGGGUUUAAAGGGUGCGUAGGUGGAUCUUUAAGUCAGUGGUGAAAUCCUGCAGCUUAACUGUAGAACAGCCAUUGAAACUGAGGAUCUUGAAUUUGGUUAAAGUAGGCGGAAUGUAUCAUGUAGCGGUGAAAUGCUUAGAUAUGAUACAGAACACCGAUAGCGAAGGCAGCUUGCUGAACCAAUAUUGACGCUGAGGCACGAAAGCGUGGGGAGCGAACAGG
rnacentral:rRNA from 1 species